rnacentral:rRNA from 1 species
UACGGGGGGGGCAAGCGUUGUUCGGAAUUACUGGGCGUAAAGGGCUCGUAGGCGGCCAACUAAGUCAGACGUGAAAUCCCUCGGCUUAACCGGGGAACUGCGUCUGAUACUGGAUGGCUUGAGUUUGGGAGAGGGAUGCGGAAUUCCAGGUGUAGCGGUGAAAUGCGUAGAUAUCUGGAGGAACACCGGUGGCGAAGGCGGCGACCUGGGUCGAUACUGACGCUGAGGUGCGAAAGCGUGGGGAGCAAACAGG